GAUGAACGCUGGCGGCGUGCCUAACACAUGCAAGUCGAACGGAAAGACGAGGGUGCUUGCACUUUCUCACGUUAGCGGCGGACGGGUGAGUAAUGCGUGGGUAACCUACCUAUAAGGGUGGGUUACCUUCGGGAAAGGGGAGCAAAUACCGGAUACUACUUAUGUUCGCAUGGGGCAAUAGUGAAACACCGUUCUGCUGUGAAUUCUCGGUUGACCCGCGGUGUAUUAGCUGGUUGGUGGGGUAACGGCUCACCAAGGCAACGAUUCAUAGCCGACCUGAGAGGGUGAUCGGCCACACUGGGACUGAGACACGGCCCAGACUCCUACGGGAGGCAGCAGUAGGGAAUCUUCCGCAACGGACGAAAGUCUGACGCAGCAAUGCCGCGUGAGUGAAGAAGGCGUUCGGAUCGUAAAGCUCUGUUGUAGGGGAAGAACGGGUUCGGUAUGAACCGAACGUUCAUUGACGGUACCUGACCAAGAAGCCCCGGCUAACUACGUG
rnacentral:rRNA from 1 species